AUUGAACGCUGGCGGCAUGCCUUACACAUGCAAGUCGAACGGUAACGGGCCUUCGGGUGCCGACGAGUGGCGAACGGGUGAGUAAUACAUCGGAACGUGCCCGAUCGUGGGGGAUAACGAGGCGAAAGCUUUGCUAAUACCGCAUACGAUCUACGGAUGAAAGCAGGGGACCGCAAGGCCUUGCGCGGACGGAGCGGCCGAUGGCAGAUUAGGUAGUUGGUGAGAUAAAAGCUUACCAAGCCGACGAUCUGUAGCUGGUCUGAGAGGAUGAUCAGCCACACUGGGACUGAGACACGGCCCAGACUCCUACGGGAGGCAGCAGUGGGGAAUUUUGGACAAUGGGCGCAAGCCUGAUCCAGCCAUGCCGCGUGCAGGAUGAAGGCCUUCGGGUUGUAAACUGCUUUUGUACGGAACGAAAAGCCUUCUUUUAAUACAGGAGGGUCAUGACGGUACCGUAAGAAUAAGCACCGGCUAACUACG
rnacentral:rRNA from 1 species